rnacentral:rRNA from 1 species
GAUGAACGCUGGCGGCGUGCCUAAUACAUGCAAGUAGAACGCUGAAGGAAGGAGCUUGCUCUUUCCGGAUGAGUUGCGAACGGGUGAGUAACGCGUAGGUAACCUGCCUGUUAGCGUGGGAUAACUAUUGGAAACGAUAGCUAAUACCGCAUAACAGUAGAUGUUGCAUGAUAUCUACUUAAAAGGUGCAAUUGCACCACUACCAGAUGGACCUGCGUUGUAUUAGCUAGUUGGUGAGGAAACGGCCCACCAAGGCAACGAUACAUAGCCGACCGGAUGGGGGAACCGCCCACAUUGGAAUGGGACACGGGUCAAGACCCCUCCGGGGGCAGGAGGAGGGAAACUUCGGCCAUGGGGCGAAAUCUGGCCGAGCAACGCCGGGUGGGUGAAGAAGGUUUUCGGGUCGGAAAGCUCUGUUGUAAGAGAAGGAAGAGUGGGAGAGUGAAAAGUUCACACUGUGACGGUAUCUAAACAGAAAGCGACGGCUAACUACGUG